rnacentral:rRNA from 1 species
UACGUAGGAUGCAAGCGUUGUCCGGAUUUACUGGGCGUAAAGCGUGCGCAGGCGGUUUUGUAAGUUUUGUCGUGAAAGCCCCGGGCUCAACCUGGGAAUUGCGAUGAAGACUGCAAGGCUUGAAUCUGGCAGAGGGGGGUAGAAUUCCACGUGUAGCAGUGAAAUGCGUAGAGAUGUGGAGGAACACCGAUGGCGAAGGCAGCCCCCUGGGUCAAGAUUGACGCUCAUGCACGAAAGCGUGGGGAGCAAACAGG